AAGGCGAUUCUGCCCAAGUACUCUGGAUUUGAUCCCCAGAAGGCAUAAAGUCAGCCUCUUGCAGGAUAUUCAAAAGACUGUAAACACAUUCCACCCUUCGAACUCCCAAGAUAGCUUCAUCUGUCUCAAUUCUUCCAGUCUGCAAUCAACAUUUACUUUGUAUUUCCCCCACUGAUGCUCUGGACUCAACUGUCCUUUUUUCCUCGACAUUUUUCAGCUUCUGGAUUCUCAGAGACAAAGCGAUGCACAGAAAUUAAGGCAAUUAAUUAUCCUGCAAUAACCUGUAAGUGUUUAAGAGACAGGAAACAUGACCUGCCUAUCUUCAAUCAAAAUCCAAAAAUGAUAAAGCUCAAUGGAGAAGCUAUGUCUAAAGCUAUGAUUGAAAAAAAGAAAGAAAGAAAGAAAGAAAGGAAGGAAGGAAGGAAGAAAGAAAGAAAGAAAGAAAGAAAGAAAGAAAGAAAGAAAGAAAGAAAGAAAGAAAGAAAGAAAGAAAAGCAGCCUCCUAUGACAAGCAUUUUGCCAAGUUGUGCAUGCACAGGGAAGGUUCUUGAAAGGUGUUCAGUGUGUUACU